AAACCAUCUAAGGCCUUGUUCGGUUGGAUCAGGAAUGACUGGGAUUGGGCUGAAACCCCUGUGGAUCAUCCCGGUGUGAGAAAAAUUCCAGCCCAUAGAAAAAAGCCCGUUCGGUUCAGCCCAGGCGGGAUACUAACCAAGCCCAUCCCGGCGCAUGCCCCUCGUUUUGAGCCGGGAAAAAACAUCGACCGCUGAGGUGUGGAACAAAUCCUCGUGGAGGCGCAGGAGAAGAUGGCUACGGCGGCGCGCGCGACGUAGAGCCGACGGCGACGGCGACGGUGACGGCGACGGCGACGGCGACGGGACAAGGUCCGCCUCUCCGGUGGUCAUCUUCUCCGUCGGCCACCUUCUCGCCUAUACAUUGUCCCUGUACCGGUUAGAGUUGGAGAAGACCAACCCCCACAAUCUUGGAGCCCUGUACCAUCUCCAGCAUUUUGCAAUGAUUACAACAAGAGAUCAUGUUAGAAAGAGGAGGGAAGAGGGGGACGAUGAUAUGAUGUUGUUUAUUUUCCCUGCACUACAUCUGUUGAGUUCUAGAGGAGGAAAGGAAAAGAAGCGUCGUCAUACUUCUAAGCUAACAGGGGAGGAACAUGUUCAUGAGCUACUUGAAGGACAUGUCAAGAACUGUCGGACAACAUUUAGGAUGGAACCAAAAAUAUUUAAAGCCCUAGCCAAUUACCUUAGAACUGAAAGAUUGGUUCGUGAUACUAGGAUUAAGGUUGAAGAGAAGCUAGCAUUCUUCUUAUACAUGCUUAGUCACAAUGCUUCAUAUGAGGAUCUUCAAGUAGAAUUUGGGCACAGUAGUGAUACCUUUCACCGUCACAUGAAACAUUUCUUCAACUUGGUUAUCCCUACACUAUCCAAGCGACUUAUGAAGCCUCCUGAUCCUAAUCAAGUUCAUUUGAAAAUUGAAAGAGAUCCUCGAUUUUAUCCUUACUUCAAGAAUUGUCUUGGUGCAAUUGAUGGCACCCAUGUACCCAUAUCCAUAUCAUCUGAAAAGGCUGCUCCAUUUAGAAAUAGGAAAGGGACUCUUAGCCAAAAUGUGAUGAUAGCAUGCGAUUUUGAUAUGAGUAUCACCUUCAUAUCUAGUGGAUGGGAGGGGUCAGCUACAGAUGCUAGAGUUCUUAGCUCCGCAAUGAACAAUGGUUUCAAACUACCUCCAGGGAAAUUCUACUUGGUUGAUGGUGGAUAUGCCAAUACUGCUUCUUUUCUUGCACCAUAUCAAAGAGUUAGGUACCAUCUGAAGGAGUUUGGGAGGGGUCAUCAUAGACCUCAAAACUACAAGGAAUUAUUUAAUCAUCGCCAUGCGGUAUUAAGGAAUCAUGUUGAAAGGACUGCAGAUGCAAGACUGCAACCAAUUGAAGAAAAUGUUGCGCGUGUUGAAAGGAGUACACAAACGGUACAAAGAAGAGUUAUUGCUACUAUAGGAAACAAGGAAGAAAAAGAACUAAAAAGGCAAAAAAAAAAAGUAUCGGUGUAGAAGCUCUUAUAGAAAGGUAUCUUGAUAUGAGAACCAAGCAAGUUGAAGAUGAAGCUGCACAGUUAGCAAGAGAAAGGGAAGUUUGUGAUUUUUCAAUAAAGAGGUGCAUAGCUAUUCUCAACUCAAUGAAAGUAACAAAAGAGGAAAAGGCCAAAGCAUACACUGUCUUCAAGAAUGCAGAUAAUAGCGAAAUUUUUGUGAGUGCAUGCGAUGAGGAUUUAGAGUCUGCUUUGAUUUGGUUAAGAAAUGAAAUGGCCUAGCAGCAUGGAUGCCUGCUUCCUUUAACUGAAGAAUAAUUCAUAAAUUGCAGAACCGGAUCAAAAUAUGGAUCAGAAAAGUUUUGUAGGUUGAUUUGUGAGUUGUGGUAUGGAUUCUUUUCAGCAUGCUUUUCAAAAAAGGAACUAUGCAAGAUGCCAGUUUUGUGCAGCAGCAACAAAUGUCGAUCUCAAUACUCAUUGCUUCCAAUUUUCAGUAGAAUCUGGACCCUAUUUUUGUUGAUUAGCAAACUUCUGUUGUUCGGUUGUUUAGUAGCAACCAAAAGUUUAUCAAUUGUUCUGGAUACUUUAUACAGAAGUUUUGUCUGAUGGAUCAAUGAACAGAAGCAAAUUAGUUCUGUAUAAUUGUUGCGUUGAUACUUUUAUCAAUAGUUGAUUAGUAGCAAAUGAUUUUUUGAUAGCAAACGAUUAAUAGUUGGUUUGAACCGAACGCAUGGAUUGAAGAGGGAUUAUAGAGGAACCCAGGGAUUUAUCCCCCACUGGGUUUGGGUGACAUGGGAGGGAUUCACUCAAUCCCUCCCAGGAUAAAUUCCUGCUAGGGAUCAAUUCCCAGCUAACCGAACAAGCCCUAAAUGUGCCAGGGGUGGAUCGUAGAAGCCAGUGUUAAAUCAGCCAU